UACGAAGGGGGCUAGCGUUGCUCGGAAUCACUGGGCGUAAAGCGCACGUAGGCGGGUCUUUAAGUCAGGGGUGAAAUCCUGGAGCUCAACUCCAGAACUGCCUUUGAUACUGGUGAGCUUGAGUCCGGAAGAGGUGAGUGGAACUGCGAGUGUAGAGGUGAAAUUCGUAGAUAUUCGCAAGAACACCAGUGGCGAAGGCGGCUCACUGGUCCGGUACUGACGCUGAGGUGCGAAAGCGUGGGGAGCAAACAGG
rnacentral:rRNA from 1 species